rnacentral:rRNA from 1 species
GGAAUAUUGCACAAUGGGCGCAAGCCUGAUGCAGCGACGCCGCGUGGGUGAUGAAGGCUUUCGGGUCGUAAAGCCCUUUUCUAGGUGACGAGCAAGGACGGCAGCCUAGGCAUAAGUGUCGGCUAACUACGUGCCAGCAGCCGCGGUAAAACGUAGGACACAAGCGUUAUCCGGAGUUACUGGGCGUAAAGGGCGUGUAGGCGGAUGUAUAAGUCUAUUCUGAAAGCUCCUGGCUAAACUGGGAGAGGCGAAUGGAGACUGUAUGUCUAGAGUGAGGAAGAGGAAAGUAGAAUUCCGCGUGUAGUGGUGAAAUGCGUAGAGAUGCGGAGGAACACCAGUGGCGAAAGCGACUUUCUGGUCCUUAACUGACGCUGAGGCGCGAAAGCAUGGGGAGCGAAC